rnacentral:tRNA from 1 species
GCCGGCGUAGCUCAGCGGUAGAGCAGCGGUUUCGUAAACCGCAGGCCUCGGGUUCAAAUCCCGACGUCGGCU